rnacentral:rRNA from 1 species
AGAGUUUGAUCAUGGCUCAGGACGAACGCUGGCGGCGUGCUUAACACAUGCAAGUCGAGCGAACCUUCGGGUUAGCGGCGAACGGGUGAGUAACACGUGGGCAACCUGCCCCGAGCUCUGGGAUAACCCCGGGAAACCGGGGCUAAUACCGGAUAUGACAUCGACAGACAUCUGUCGUUGUGGAAAGUUUUUCGGCUCGGGAUGGGCCCGCGGCCUAUCAGCUUGUUGGUGGGGUAACGGCCUACCAAGGCGACGACGGGUAGCCGGCCUGAGAGGGCGACCGGCCACACUGGGACUGAGACACGGCCCAGACUCCUACGGGAGGCAGCAGUGGGGAAUAUUGCGCAAUGGGCGAAAGCCUGACGCAGCGACGCCGCGUGAGGGAUGAAGGCCUUCGGGUUGUAAACCUCUUUCAGCAGGGACGAAGCGAAAGUGACGGUACCUGCAGAAGAAGCACCGGCCAACUACGUGCCAGCAGCCGCGGUAAUACGUAGGGUGCAAGCGUUGUCCGGAAUUAUUGGGCGUAAAGAGCUCGUAGGCGGUCCGUCACGUCGGCUGUGAAAACUCGGGGCUCAACCCCGAGCCUGCAGUCGAUACGGGCAGACUAGAGUCCGGCAGGGGAGACUGGAAUUCCUGGUGUAGCGGUGAAAUGCGCAGAUAUCAGGAGGAACACCGGUGGCGAAGGCGGGUCUCUGGGCCGGAACUGACGCUGAGGAGCGAAAGCGUGGGGAGCGAACAGGAUUAGAUACCCUAGUAGUCC